AUGAGAGAAACUCUAAAUAGGUCUAAGGCUCACCUGCCUUAUGGUAUGGCACUCAUCCUGGUCUUUAGGAGGUUCAGAGUCUAUUUUGAGGGGGAGGCAGUCACUAAGUUAUCAUACUCUGACACCAUCAACCGCCACACAUUGCGCCGCAUGGGUUUCCCAAAAACUGAUGGUGGUUGGUCAAAGGAUGUUGAGGAGAGAGCUGAGGAG
rnacentral:lncRNA from 1 species